rnacentral:rRNA from 1 species
AUGCUUGUCAGACAUUUCCAGGCUUCGUGCCUUAAAAUCAUCAUCAUGCCUAAUACGCCUCUCUUGUCCCCCGCAAAAAAUUUAAAAAAUACACCUGUCUUAUUGCUCUCAGCAGCAUUGGCAUUUGGCAGUCCCGUACCACAGAACCAACACUCCACAAUGUCCAACGGCACCAUGAGCCAACUGACGCCGGCGCCCGAUGCGUGGAACUUCGCGCCGGACGAGGCCCUCCUCGGCCUGUCGGCGCUGUCGGUGCGCUCCGUGCUGGGCAGCAUCAAGGCCGGGAUGGACCCGAGCAGCGACCGCCCGGUGAUCCCGCUCGGGCACGGCGACCCUUCGGCCUUCCCGUGCUUCCGCACCGCGCCGGAGGCCGUGGAAGCCGUCUCCGCCGCGCUCCACUCGGGGAAGCACAACUCCUACCCCACCGGCGUCGGCCUGGAGCCGGCGCGGCGCUCCAUCGCGCGUCACCUGUCCCUCGACCUGCCCUACGAGCUCUCCCCCGACGACGUCUACCUCACGAGCGGCUGCUCCCAGGCGAUCGAGAUCGUCUGCUCCGUGCUCGCCGGCCGUCCCGGCGCCCACAACAUCCUGCUCCCGCGGCCCGGGUACCUCUUCUACGAGGCGCGCGCCGCGUUCAACGGCAUGGAGGUCCGCUACUUCGAUCUCCUUCCGGACAGCGACUGGGAGGCGGACCUCGGCGCCGUGGAGGCCCUCGCCGACCGGAACACCGUCGCCAUGGUCCUCGUCAACCCCGGCAACCCCUGCGGCAACGUCUACAGCUACGACCAUCUCGCCAAGCUUGACCAACUGUUGCAGGUCGCCGAGACGGCGACGAAGCUUGGCAUCUUCGUCAUCGCUGACGAAGUGUACGCGCACCUGACGUUCGGGAAGAACCCGUUCGUCCCGAUGGGCGUGUUUGGCUCCGUGGCUCCGGUGCUCACCCUGGGAUCCGUCUCCAAGAGAUGGGUGGUGCCUGGAUGGCGGCUUGGAUGGAUCGUCACCAAUGAUCCUAAUGGCGUAUUUCGCAGGACCAAGCUUGUGGAAAGCAUUAAGAGUUACCUUGACAUCUCCUGUGAUCCUGCGACAUUUGUUCAGGGAGCAAUCCCAGAACUCCUGGCGAACACAAAACAAGAAUUCUUCGACAAGACCGUGGAGAUCCUGAGACAAACCGCGGAUAUAUGCUGGGAGAAGCUCAAGGGCAUCAGUGGCAUCACUUGCCCAAGCAAACCGGAGGGCUCCAUGUUUGUAAUGGUGAAACUGGAUUUGUCCUGCCUUCAGGACAUCAAAGAUGACAUGGACUUCUGCUGCAAGCUGGCAAAAGAGGAGUCAGUGGUUGUUUUGCCAGGAUGUGCUGUGGGAUACAAGAAUUGGGUCCGGAUCACGUUCGCAAUCGGACCGUCUUCUCUGGAAGACGGCCUUGACAGGCUCAAGUCCUUCUGCUCGCGGCACAGCGAGACUAAGAAGUGA